CAGGCCUAAUACAUGCAAGUCGAGGGGUAACAUGAGAGCUUGCUCUUGAUGACGACCGGCGCACGGGUGCGUAACGCGUAUGCAACCUACCCACAACUGGAGGAUAGCCCGGAGAAAUCCGGAUUAAUACUCCAUAAUGCAGGGGUACCUCCUGGUACUAUUUGCUAAAGAUUUAUCGGUUGUGGAUGGGCAUGCGUCUGAUUAGUUAGUUGGUGAGGUAACGGCUCACCAAGACCACGAUCAGUAGGGGGUCUGAGAGGAUGAUCCCCCACACUGGCACUGAGAUACGGGCCAGACUCCUACGGGAGGCAGCAGUAGGGAAUAUUGGGCAAUGGGCGAAAGCCUGACCCAGCCAUGCCGCGUGAAGGAUGAAGGCCUUCUGGGUUGUAAACUUCUUUUAUAUAGGAAGAAAAAGGUCAUGCGUGACCAAUUGACGGUACUACAUGAAUAAGCACCGGCUAACUCCGUGCCAGCAGCCGCGGUAAU
rnacentral:rRNA from 1 species